GACGAACGCUGGCGGCGUGCUUAACACAUGCAAGUCGAACGGUGAAGCUCCAGCUUGCUGGAGUGGAUCAGUGGCGAACGGGUGAGUAACACGUGAGCAACCUGCCCCUGACUCUGGAAUAAGCGCUGGAAACGGCGUCUAAUACUGGAUACGAGAAGGGUCCGCAUGGGCACUUUCUGGAAAGUUUUUCGGUUGGGGAUGGGCUCGCGGCCUAUCAGCUUGUUGGUGAGGUAAUGGCUCUCCAAGGCGACGACGGGUAGCCGGCCUGAGAGGGCGACCGGCCACACUGGGACUGAGACACGGCCCAGACUCCUACGGGAGGCAGCAGUGGGGAAUAUUGCACAAUGGGCGAAAGCCUGAUGCAGCGACGCCGCGUGAGGGAUGACGGCCUUCGGGUUGUAAACCUCUUUCAGCAGGGAAGAAGCGAAAGUGACGGUACCUGCAGAAGAAGCACCGGCUAACUACGUG
rnacentral:rRNA from 1 species